CCUACGGGUGGCUGCAGUCGAGAAUCAUUCACAAUGGGGGAAACCCUGAUGGUGCGACGCCGCGUGGGGGAAUGAAGGUCUUCGGAUUGUAAACCCCUGUCAUGUGGGAGCAAAUUAAAAAGAUAGUACCACAAGAGGAAGAGACGGCUAACUCGGUGCCAGCAGCCGCGGUAAUACAGCGGUCUCAAGCGUUGUUCGGAAUCACUGGGCGAAAAGCGUGCGUAGGCUGUUUCGUAAUUCGUGGGUGAAAGGCGCGGGCACAACCCGCGAACGGCACAUGAUACGGCGGGACUAGAGUAAUGGGGGGGGGACCGAAAUUCUGGGUGUAGCAGUGAAAUGCG
rnacentral:rRNA from 1 species